CUACUGAGGUUCUACUGAGCAGGAGGUUCUACUGAGGUUCUACUGAGCAGUAGGUUCUACUGAGCAGGAGGUUCUACUGAGGUUCUACUGAGCAGUAGGUUCUACUGAGGUUCUACUGAGCAGGAGGUUCUACUGAGGUUCUACUGAGCAGUAGGUUCUACUGACCCCCACUGAGCAGUAGGUUCUACUGACCCCCACUGAGCAGUAGGUUCUACUGAGGUUCUACUGAGCAGGAGGUUCUACUGAGGUUCUACUGAGCAGUAGGUUCUACUGAGCAGGAGGUUCUACUGAA